GCCCAGGUGGCGAAACCGGUAAACGCUGCGGACUUAAAAUCCGCUGGUAGCAAUACCUUGUGGGUUCGAGUCCCACCCUGGGCACCA
rnacentral:tRNA from 1 species